rnacentral:rRNA from 1 species
AACGCGAAGAACCUUACCUACCCUUGACAUCCUUGGAAGCUUAUAGAGAUAUAGGUGUGCCCGAAAGGGAACCGAGAGACAGGUGCUGCAUGGCUGUCGUCAGCUCGUGUCGUGAGAUGUUGGGUUAAGUCCCGUAACGAGCGCAACCCUUGUCCUUAGUUGCUAACGGGUAGAGCCGAGCACUUUAAGGAGACUGCCGGUGAUAAGCCGGAGGAAGGUGGGGAUGACGUCAAGUCCUCAUGGCCCUUACGGGUAGGGCGACACACGUGCUACAAUGGACGGUACAGAGGGAAGCGAAGCCGCGAGGUGAAGCGGAAUCUCAGAAAGCCGUUCGUAGUCCGGAUUGGAGUCUGCAACUCGACUCCAUGAAGUUGGAAUCGCUAGUAAUCGCGGAUCAGAACGCCGCGGUGAAUACGUUCCCGGGCCUUGUACACACCGUAGAGAC